GCUUUUGAGUCUUCAUUUUUUCACACUCGAGUGCGGUUAAAAGUAGACGCAGUACUGACUCAUCGAACUAAUUCCAGGAAUUAAUAUGUUAUAAUGGAAAUGAUCUAUCAGGCACUUAUUCCGCUGAUCGCAUUUGAAAACUUUACUAAAAUAGAGCGAAUUACGAAGCGGUCCAACGAUUCUCGACGACUGGAUCGUGUCAGUUGGAUUUAUUUCGUGACACAUCGAUGUACCAUAAGCCAACCAGAAUAAUUGAUCGCCGCUAAAAUGCAAACCGUGCAGGUUUUUCUCGACGAAAUUCUGCUUCUCCCAUCUUUUGUAAGCCAAGUAUGCUAUGUCAACAGCGAGAUAAUUCGACAUAAUUGUUAUUAGGCUCUCAUUGCAAUCUAUCUGCAAUUCAAUAAAUAGCACUUGAAGGCCACUUAUCAUUACAAUAGUACCAGCUCGGAAUCUGAUCCACAUCGAGGCAAACAAUGAGUCAUGUUUUUGAAAUUGGAGAACGUAACUUCAGACACAUUUCUCAAAAUUGAGAAAUACAUUGCCUCGAUUAAUUGCUGGGCUAUGGUGGUGCCUAAAGUACCAUAAUUGAGGUAAUUGGGUCUGGUAUCCUCAUACAAGUAACCAUGGAGGGCCCCAGCUGGUACCCCUGGAAAACGAGACUCAACCGGAACUAAUAUCAUAAAUUUUACGUACAAAUCAAGUUAAAUCGUUGCAUAAAUCGAAUUUCCCUCGACGGUACUAGUUCGUAAAACGUGUAUUUGAGGUAAUUCGUCUCUUUGUAUUUCUUAUUAAAUAGCAAGUCGAGUCCUUUUUCAAACAGUUUCAUGUUUAUGUGGAUUAUAUUCGACGAAUUGAAUUCAAGCUAAAUCGAACAUUAGUUAGUUUCUGGCAAAAUAAAAAACUGAUUACCUCUC